rnacentral:rRNA from 1 species
AACGCUGGCGGCGUGCCUAAUACAUGCAAGUCGAACGAGAAAGUACCUUCGGGUGCGAGUACAGUGGCGCACGGGUGAGGAAUAAAUAGGUAACUUGCCCUCUGGCGGGGAACAACCUGGGGAAACUCAGGCUAAUACCGCAUAAGACCACAGGAUCCGCGGAUCUAGGGGUUAAAGAUUUAUCACCAGAGGAUAGGCCUAUUUCUGAUUAGCUUGAUGGUGGGGUAAUGGCCUACCAUGGUUACGAUCAGUAGCUGGUCUGAGAGGAUGAUCAGCCACACUGGAACUGAGACACGGUCCAGACUCCUACGGGAGGCAGCAGUAGGGAAUAUUGCACAAUGGAGGAAACUCUGAUGCAGCAACGCCGCGUGUGUGAUGAAGGCUCUAGGGUCGUAAAGCACUGUCGUGAGGGAAGAUAAUGACGGUACCUCACAAGAAAGGACCGGCUAACUUCGUGCCAGCAGCCGCGGUAAUACGAGGGGUCCUAGCGUUGUUCGGAAUCAUUGGGCGUAAAGCGGGUGUAGGCUGAUUGGUCAGUCAGAUGUGAAAUCCCUGGGCUCAACCCAGGACGUGCAUUUGAUACUGCCAAUCUUGAGUAUCGAAGAGGUUCGUGGAAUUCCUGGUGUAGUGGUGAAAUACGUAGAUAUCAGGAGGAACAUCGGUGGGGAAGCCGGCGGACUGGUCGAAUACUGACGCUCAGACCCGAAAGCGUGGGGAUCA